rnacentral:rRNA from 1 species
UCCAGACUCCUACGGGAGGCAGCAGUGAGGAAUAUUGGUCAAUGGGCUUACGCCUGAACCAGCCAAGUCGCGUGAGGGAAGACUGCCCUAUGGGUUGUAAACCUCUUUUGUCAGGGAGCAACGCCGGCUACGUGUAGCCGGACUGAGAGUACCUGAAGAAAAAGCAUCGGCUAACUCCGUGCCAGCAGCCGCGGUAAUCCGGAGGAUGCGAGCGUUAUCCGGAUUUAUUGGGUUUAAAGGGUGCGUAGGCGGAAUGCCAAGUCAGCGGUAAAAUCGGGGGGCUCAACCUCGCUCCGCCGUUGAAACUGGCGUUCUUGAGUGGGCGAGAAGUAUGCGGAAUGCGUGGUGUAGCGGUGAAAUGCAUAGAUAUCACGCAGAACUCCGAUUGCGAAGGCAGCGUACCGGCUCCACACUGACGCUGAGGCACGAAAGCGUGGGUAUCGAACAGGAUUAGAUACCCCAGUAU